GACGAACGCUGGCGGCGUGCUUAACACAUGCAAGUCGAACGUGAUUUUUGUGGAAAUUCUUUCGGGAAUGGAAAUGAAAUGAAAGUGGCGAACGGGUGAGUAACACGUGAGCAACCUACCUUACACAGGGGGAUAGCCGUUGGAAACGACGAUUAAUACCGCAUGAGACCACAGAAUCGCAUGAUAUAGGGGUCAAAGAUUUAUCGGUGUAAGAAGGGCUCGCGUCUGAUUAGCUAGUUGGAAGGGUAAAGGCCUACCAAGGCGACGAUCAGUAGCCGGUCUGAGAGGAUGAACGACCACAUUGGAACUGAGACACGGUCCAAACUCCUACGGGAGGCAGCAGUGGGGAAUAUUGCACAAUGGGGGGAACCCUGAUGCAGCGACGCCGCGUGAGCGAAGAAGGUUUUCGAAUCGUAAAGCUCUGUCCUAUGAGAAGAUAAUGACGGUAUCAUAGGAGGAAGCCCCGGCUAAAUACGUG
rnacentral:rRNA from 1 species